rnacentral:rRNA from 1 species
CGGCAAAAGCUCAAAUUUGAAAUCUGGCGCUUGCGUCCGAGUUGUAAUUUGUAGAGGAGCGAUCGGUGAAGCCUAGGUCCGAGUCUGCUGGAAGGCAGCGCCACUGAGGGUGACAGCCCCGUACGACCGAUGGUGAAGCCGUGUGAUCGCCCUUCGAA